ACACAGUAGACUUUGCUGCUUUCCUCAUGUGUUUGUUUGUUUGUUUGUGUCAGAUGCUGAGAGACCCAGCGGUGGACGUCCAGAGAACAGAGGGGGUGGCAGGUUGACAGAGAAAGACAGAGUGGUCGACAUGUUGAAGACAACCUAGUUGAUUGUUUGUGUUUAGGAGCUGCCACAGACUUGCUGUGGAAGCAGAGCUUCUUCUUCUUCUUCUUCUUCUUCUUCUUCUUCUUCUUCUUCUUCUUCUUCUUCUUCUUCUUCUUCUUCUUCUUCUUCUUCUUCUUCUUCUUCUUCUUCUUCUUCUUCUUCUUCUUCUUCUUCUUCUUCUUCUUCUUCUUCUUCUUCUUCUUCUUCUUCUUCUUCUUCUUCUUAAUGGAAUUUCAGCCUAAAUAAAAAAAAAAAAAAAAAAAAAAAAGAGUCCAAACUGCAUUGUGGUCAAUUUUUUGAAAAGAAAAACAGUAAAGUGUGAAAGAGAAAGAGGAAAAUUGCAAAGUGUGAGAAAAAAGCAAAGAGAGGAAAGAGGAAAAAGAACUAAGUGUGAAAAAAACAAAGUGUAAGAGGACAGAGGAAAAAGAACAAAGUGUGAAAAUAGCAAAGUGUGAGACAAGAGGAAGAAGAACACUGCUUUCCUCAUGUGUUUGUUUGUUUGUUUGUUUGUUUCAGAUGCUGAGAGACCAAGCGGUGGACGUCCAGAGAACAGAGAUGCUGAGAGACCAAGCAGUGGACGUCCAGAGAGCAGAGGUGAGUUGCACAUUGUCACACAUUGCACACGGUAGACUUUGCUGCUUUAGUCAUGUGUUUGUUUGUUUGUUUGUUUGUGUGAGAUGCUGAGAGAGCAAGCGGUGGACGUCCAGAGAGCAGAGGUAAGUUGCACAUUGUCACACAUUGCACACAGUAGACUUUGCUGCUUUCCUCAUGUGUUUGUUUGUUUGUUUGUUUGUGUCAGAUGCUGAGAGAGCAAGCGGUGGACGUCCAGAGAACAGAGGUGAGUUGCACAUUGUCACACAUUGCACACAGUAGACUUUGCUGCUUUCCUCAUGUGUUUGUUUGUUUGUUUGUUUGUGUCAGAUGCUGAGAGACCCAGCGGUGGACG